AUGAACGCUAGCUACAGGCUUAACACAUGCAAGUCGAGGGGCAGCAUGGUCUUAGCUUGCUAAGGCUGAUGGCGACCGGCGCACGGGUGAGUAACACGUAUCCAACCUGCCGUCUACUCUUGGCCAGCCUUCUGAAAGGAAGAUUAAUCCAGGAUGGGAUCAUGAGUUCACAUGUCCGCAUGAUUAAAGGUAUUUUCCGGUAGACGAUGGGGAUGCGUUCCAUUAGAUAGUAGGCGGGGUAACGGCCCACCUAGUCAACGAUGGAUAGGGGUUCUGAGAGGAAGGUCCCCCACAUUGGAACUGAGACACGGUCCAAACUCCUACGGGAGGCAGCAGUGAGGAAUAUUGGUCAAUGGGCGAUGGCCUGAACCAGCCAAGUAGCGUGAAGGAUGACUGCCCUAUGGGUUGUAAACUUCUUUUAUAAAGGAAUAAAGUCGGGUAUGCAUACCCGUUUGCAUGUACUUUAUGAAUAAGGAUCGGCUAACUCCGUGCCAGCAGCCGCGGUAAUACGGAGGAUCCGAGCGUUAUCCGGAUUUAUUGGGUUUAAAGGGAGCGUAGAUGGAUGUUUAAGUCAGUUGUGAAAGUUUGCGGCUCAACCGUAAAAUUGCAGUUGAUACUGGAUGUCUUGAGUGCAGUUGAGGCAGGCGGAAUUCGUGGUGUAGCGGUGAAAUGCUUAGAUAUCACGAAGAACUCCGAUUGCGAAGGCAGCCUGCUAAGCUGCAACUGACAUUGAGGCUCGAAAGUGUGGGUAUCAAACAGGAUUAGAUACCCUGGUAGUCCACACGGUAAACGAUGAAUACUCGCUGUUUGCGAUAUACGGCAAGCGGCCAAGCGAAAGCGUUAAGUAUUCCACCUGGGGAGUACGCCGGCAACGGUGAAACUCAAAGGAAUUGACGGGGGCCCGCACAAGCGGUGGAGUAUGUGGUUUAAUUCGAAGCAACGCGAAGAACCUUACCAGGUCUUGACAUCCCGAUGAAAAACCCGUAACGGGGUUCCCUCUUCGGAGCAUCGGAGACAGGUGGUGCAUGGUUGUCGUCAGCUCGUGUCGUGAGAUGUUGGGUUAAGUCCCGCAACGAGCGCAACCCUUGUGAUAUGUUACUAACAUUGAGUUGAGGACUCAUAUCAGACUGCCGGUGAUAAACCGGAGGAAGGUGGGGAUGACGUCAAAUCAGCACGGCCCUUACGUCCGGGGCUACACACGUGUUACAAUGGGGGGUACAGAGGGCCGCUACCACGCGAGUGGAUGCCAAUCCCUAAAACCCCUCUCAGUUCGGACUGGAGUCUGCAACCCGACUCCACGAAGCUGGAUUCGCUAGUAAUCGCGCAUCAGCCACGGCGCGGUGAAUACGUUCCCGGGCCUUGUACACACCGCCCGUCAAGCCAUGGGAGCCGGGGGUACCUGAAGUGCGUAACCGCGAGGAUCGCCCUAGGGUAAAACUGGUGACUGGGGCU
rnacentral:rRNA from 1 species